rfam:Tupaia chinensis contig207248, whole genome shotgun sequence.
GUGCUUGCUUCAGCAGCACAUAUACUAAAACUAGAACAAUACAGAGAAGAUUAGCACAGCCCCUGCGCAAGGAUGAGGCACAAAUUUGUGAAGGAGUCCAUAUUUUU